rnacentral:rRNA from 1 species
UACGUAGGUGGCAAGCGUUGUCCGUAUUUACUGGGCGUAAAGAGCGCGCAGGCGGUCGUUUAAGUCGAAUGUGAAAGCCCCCGGCUCAACUGGGGAGGGUCAUUCGAUACUGAUCGACUUGAAGGCAGGAGAGAGAAGUGGAAUUCCCGGUGUAGUGGUGAAAUGCGUAGAUAUCGGGAGGAACACCAGUGGCGAAGGCGGCUCUCUGGGACGGUACUGACGCUGAGACGCGAAAGCGUGGGGAGCGAACAGG